rnacentral:rRNA from 1 species
CCGGCACGGGUGAGUAACACGUAUCCAACCUGCCGUCUACUCUUGGACAGCCUUCUGAAAGGAAGAUUAAUACAAGAUGGCAUCAUGAGUCCGCAUGUUCACAUGAUUAAAGGUAUUCCGGUAGACGAUGGGGAUGCGUUCCAUUAGAUAGUAGGCGGGGUAACGGCCCACCUAGUCUUCGAUGGAUAGGGGUUCUGAGAGGAGGGUCCCCCACAUUGGAACUGAGACACGGUCCAA